UGGGUGACGUCACGGAUGUUACGUCCAUUUCUUAUAUGCAGUCUAUGGAAAAAUCGUGUAGCGCAAGUUUUUUUUCUAUUUUCAAAUUGAACUUUCCUUCCAAUUUAUUUAGCACACAAUCUACUGCUGCUUUGAACGGUUGCUGCACCUCCGUGGCCGCCAUGCUGGAUGUAAACAGAGUCGCUCUACGGUCGCGAAAAUUUUGUCUUGGUGGCCAUGCUAACUUUCU